rnacentral:rRNA from 1 species
AUUGAACGCUGGCGGCAUGCCUUACACAUGCAAGUCGAACGGCAGCACGGGUGCUUGCACCUGGUGGCGAGUGGCGAACGGGUGAGUAAUACAUCGGAACGUACCUUAUCGUGGGGGAUAACGCAGCGAAAGCUGUGCUAAUACCGCAUACGCCCUGAGGGGGAAAGCGGGGGAUCGCAAGACCACCCGCGAGUAGAGCGGCCGAUGCCUGAUUAGCUUGUUGAUGGGGUAAAAGCCCACCAAGGCGACGAUCAGUAGCUGGUCUGAGAGGACGAUCAGCCGCACUGGGACUGAGACACGGCCCAGACUCCUACGGGAGGCAGCAGUGGGGAAUUUUGGACAAUGGGGGCAACCCUGAUCAGCAAUGCCGCGUGAGUGAAGAAGGCCUUCGGGUUGUAAAGCUCUUUUGUCAGGGAAGAAACACCGGCUCUAACACAGUCCGGGAAUGACGGUACCUGAAGAAUAAGCACCGGCUAACUACGUGCCAGCCGCCGCCGUAA